rnacentral:snoRNA from 1 species
UGGGAUGAUGAAUUACUAGACUAGAGUCUCUGAGAAAUCCAUGAAGAUGUUUUCACAGUGCACUGACCA